rnacentral:antisense_RNA from 1 species
CUUCAGCGAGCCGAGCCAGAGCGGGGUGCCGGCGCGGUCGCGCCCGUAGGUGGCAAGCAGCGCCUGCGCCUC